GAUGAAGAACGUAGUGAAAUGCGAUAAGUAGUGUGAAUUGCAGAAUUCAGUGAAUCAUCGAAUCUUUGAACGCACAUUGCGCCCUUUGGUAUUCCUUAGGGCAUGCCUGUUCGAGCGUCAUUUAAACCUUCAAGCUAAGCUUGGUGUUGGGUGACUGUCCGCUUCACAGCGGACUCGCCUCAAAAUUAUUGGCGGCCGGUACAUUGGCUUCGAGCGCAGCAGAAACGCGAACUCGGGCCCGUCGUAUUGGCUCCCAGAAGCUAUCUUCACAAUUUUGACCUCGGAUCAGGUAGGGAUACCCGCUGAACUUAAGCAUAUCAAUAAGCGGAGGA
rnacentral:misc_RNA from 1 species